AGGGGUGUGGCCCAGUGGAAGGAGAACAAUGAGGUCUCAGGUUUAAAUCUCAACGGAGGCAAAAAAUAUACUACCUAAGCCUUGGUGGACAGAGUUACACGGUCCCUGUGCUAGUGGGAGGUAGCAGGCACCCGGUGGACUACUCGAGGUGCAGGGAAGCUGGCUCAGAAACCACCGUCAUUAAAAAUUAAACUUUUAACAAAAUUUGUUAGAUUCAUAAUAAAUGUUACCAGCAGAACGAGGGAGGUACAGCGGUAUUAGAUCACCACAGCCUAGUACCAGAUUAAACUCUUCCACAAGUCACAUCAAUACUCAAAUCACACUGCAGGGACGGAAACGCAUGGAAAAUGUGAUCAACCAAUCAAUCAAUCAAUCAAUCAACAAUGCCCAAUUCCAAAUUAGAUGGAGUAACGCUAUUUGAAUCGGGCAAACAGCGAGUUCUAUGCAUCGGCAUCAAGCUAAAUGAUACAAGUGAACCAUCCAUCACUUAUAAUCAACUUGACUUGCGAAUUAAUCCAAAAAUUAAUCAAAAUCAUUAAUGCUCAGCUCAGAUAGGCGGAUCUAACCAGUAGCGGACGCACGUGAUGGCAAGUGGGUUCAACUGAACCCGCUUCAUCAAAAAUAAUAUUGUGUAUAUGUAUAAAUUAGGAUUAAAGUUGCGUAAAUUUUGUAUAAAUAUUUUAUUUGAACCCACUUGACAACUAGUAUUUUACGACUAAAGUUAUGUACUUGAACCCGCUUGCACAAAAUCUUGGGUCUGCCACUGUCAUCUAACCCUUCCCAAAAAGUUUGGUUCUGAGCCCUCUGCUUUUAACUUGGAUCAUGUAUACAUUUUCAAUAAAAACACAUAUAUAAAAAUGUGCAAAUAUGAUACUAGUAUACUACUUCUGAAUCUACUGACUCUGAAUCGUAAACCAAAUAGUGCGGUUCGGCAGCAUAAUUCAACAAAACAAAUAGCCCUAACAAUCAAAUUCCGUAAAAUAAAACAGAUAACAGAUCUAGGAUGAGAAAAAAAUGACUUACCGGAUAGAAAUGCAGAAAUGGUUGAAUCGAAGUGAAUCUUCAGAAGAGAAUUCGGUAAUGAGGAAUUUGUGGGUUUUGAGGGUAAGGUGAGAGAAGGGGAGUCGGGAGAAAUGGUGAUCGGAGGGUGUGUGGUUUUAAGGAGGGAGAAAUUUGGUGUCUUUUCUCAGAUCUGAGAGAUCCGCAGAGUGAGUCUGGUAUUUUGUAUGCUAUAACGAGUCUG
rnacentral:lncRNA from 1 species